GAAAAUACGUUGAUAAAGAAAAGUAGUAUAAUUUUACUGCACAGAGAUGGAAUGAUUUGCUGAGACAUUCUACUUAUAAGAUUAUAUGAAGUGCCCUUUUGAGUAGUAUGCUGAAUUUGUUUUAGUAGGCAUCACCGGGUUCACCCGUUAUAGUGAUAGAGUAUAGGUGUACUUGAUAAGGUAGUUCUAAUAUAAUUAGAGUGGAACCACGAAGUUUACUUCGUCUCUAUA
rnacentral:ncRNA from 1 species